rnacentral:lncRNA from 1 species
UUCAAUUUUAUUUUAUUAAUUAUGUUCGUUAACAGUGGGUUUUAGCUGGCUGGGGAGAUUGAAAAGUUUGCAGGAACAUGGAACGCUGUGGGGUUUUGCAAGGGUUUAUGUGUUUGCACGAAUACUAAACUCUUACGACCAAGAAGUACUUGAAGAAGAGCUUGCCUUGGCAAAAUGUGCGCCUCGCCAACGCGUGGCCUGUAAUAGAGGGCCAAAAUGAUAUCAGUCUAUAACCAAGGUUAACAAUUCAUCCGCAGCUGUUCCGCGAUCCUGAUAACAUCAUGGAGCCCAAAGAACUUCCUGCUACCAGCUCGAAAGAAGCGAGAAGCAAAAAAUAAGUAGCACAGCAAUAUACGAAAUAGUUCAUUGAUGCAGAACAGCUUUUCACUCCUUCAGUGAACAAAAAUGUUGCAAUUCAGCUUCGAGAUUGCACUCCGAGGCGCAAGUCUCUCCUAAAACAGUCCUGUAUCAGAGGAAAGGAAAAAUCCUACAGCGUCCCAUGUUCUUGCAAAAUUUCCCCCCUCCCAACCAUCUGAAACCAACUUACAUUUUCCCCUCGAAUUGCUAUUUCCCAAAGUUGAGAGGAAAAUAAAGCUGUCAAGCUGAUUACCAUCAUCUUAGUUUUUCAUCAAUCUCAGUUCGACUUACAAGCCACCUUGUCUCCAUAAAUUUAAAUUCGCUGAGAACCACUAGUGCAGAAAGAACAGAAAGAAGCCAAACAAAAUCAUCGCAACAAAAUCACCUCCAGAAUCACCUCCUCACGACUUGUAUCUUUUCUCCCAACCCCCAAUUACUUCUCUAACUUGGCAGCACACUGCAGGGCAGAGAGUAACCCAAUUGAGCUGCUCUCGCACGCAGCCGAAUACAGAAGAAUCAGCCGACGUUUCACCACCAAGGGCGAAUUGGAAGAAGGCAGAGAGAGGAUACAACUACGAACUGAAACUGUGCUGAGCGAUGACGUUGGCUGGCCGACACCACCACGCCUGCCCGAACGGCAAUGGGUCCCAUAGCUGGCCCACGGGGGGCUCGCCU